rnacentral:rRNA from 1 species
GAUGAACGCUGGCGGCGUGCCUAAUACAUGCAAGUCGAGCGAACAGAUGAGGAGCUUGCUCCUCUGACGUUAGCGGCGGACGGGUGAGUAACACGUGGAUAACCUACCUAUAAGACUGGGAUAACUUCGGGAAACCGGAGCUAAUACCGGAUAAUAUAUUGAACCGCAUGGUUCAAUAGUGAAAGACGGUUUUGUUGUCACUUAUAGAUUGAUCCGCGCCGCAUUAGCUAGUUGGUAAGGUAACGGCUUACCAAGGCAACGACGCGUAGCCGACCUGAGCGGGUGAUCGGCCACACUGGAACUGAGACACGGUCCAGACUCCUACGGGAGGCAGCAGUAGAGAAUCUUCCGCAAUGGGCGAAAGCCUGACGGAGCAACACCGCGUGAAUGAUGAAGGUCUUCGGAUCGUAAAGCUCUGUUAUUAGGGAAGAACAAAUGUGUAAGUAACUAUGCACGUCUUGACGGUACCUAAUCAGAAAGCCACGGCUAACUACGUG